GGUAGUUUCCUGCCAGGGAAUCCCAGCCCUCCCUCACCUUUGACUUACUCCGGGAAACAGUCAGCAAAUUGAACCGGGACACGGCGCCCGGCAUACCCGGACCCUCAAACCUCAUCAUGAAAUAAAGGCAAGGAAACGUUCUUAGUUAGCCCCAUAGAUCGUCCCACUUCACAAACCGAAGGCUGUAGGCAAACUCAUCUACAAAAUCUGCGCGAACGCCAUCCUCAAAGCACCUUCAAAGGAGGCUUCCUCCUACCCCUUCAGAUGGGGUAAUGCCGGCAAGCGGAGUCGAGCCAAUUGCCAGAGCGGUUGGCCGAGCAGCAAUCGAGCGAUGGUUCAUUGUUUGGAUAGCCAUUACAUCUACCUUUCCUUCCUGGAUGCAUCUAAGGCCUUUAACCAUAU
rnacentral:sRNA from 1 species